CGGACGGGUGAGUAACGCGUGAGAAUCUGCCAUCAGGUCUGGGACAACCACUGGAAACGGUGGCUAAUACCGGACGUGCCCGUAAUUGGGUGAAAGGUUAACUGCCUGUUGAUGAGCUCGCGUCUGAUUAGCUAGUUGGAAGUGUAAUGGACUCCCAAGGCGACGAUCAGUAGCUGGUCUGAGAGGACGAUCAGCCACACUGGGACUGAGACACGGCCCAGACUCCUACGGGAGGCAGCAGUGGGGAAUUUUCCGCAAUGGGCGAAAGCCUGACGGAGCAAUACCGCGUGAGGGAGGAAGGCUCUUGGGUCGUAAACCUCUUUUCUCAGGGAAGAACACAAUGACGGUACCUGAGGAAUAAGCAUCGGCUAACUCCGUGCCAGCAGCCGCGGUAAUACGGAGGAUGCAAGCGUUAUCCGGAAUGAUUGGGCGUAAAGCGUCCGCAGGUGGCAAUGUAAGUCUGCUGUUAAAGAGUCUAGCUCAACUAGAUAAGAGCAGUGGAAACUACAUAGCUAGAGUACGUUCGGGGCAGAGGGAAUUCCUGGUGUAGCGGUGAAAUGCGUAGAGAUCAGGAAGAACACCAGUGGCGAAGGCGCUCUGCUAGGCCGUAACUGACACUGAGGGACGAAAGCUAGGGGAGCGAAUGGGAUUAGAUACCCCAGUAGUC
rnacentral:rRNA from 1 species